rnacentral:rRNA from 1 species
CUACGGGACGCUGCAGUGAGGAAUAUUGCACAAUGGGGGAAACCCUGAUGCAGCAACGCCGCGUGGAGGAUGACGCAUUUCGGUGUGUAAACUCCUUUUAUAUGUCAAGAAAAUGACGGUAGCAUAUGAAUAAGCACCGGCUAACUCCGUGCCAGCAGCCGCGGUAAUACGGAGGGUGCAAGCGUUACUCGGAAUCACUGGGCGUAAAGUACGCGUAGGCUGGUUGGUAAGUCAGGUGUGAAAUCCUACAGCUUAACUGUAGAACUGCACUUGAAACUACCAACCUAGAGUAUGGGAGGGGGAGAUGGAAUUAGUGGUGUAGGGGUAAUAUCCGUAGAUAUCACUAGGAAUACCGAAAGCGAAGGCGAUCUCCUGGAACAUAACUGACGCUAAGGCGUGAAAGCGUGGGGAGCAAACAGGAUUAGAUACCCUCGUAGUC